UACGGGGGGCAAGCGUUGUUCGGAAUUACUGGCGUAAAGGGCUCGUAGGCGGCCAACUAAGUCGGAUGUGAAAUCCCCAGGCUCAACUUGGGAACUGCAUCCGAUACUGGAUGGCUUGAAUUCGGGAGAGGAUGCAGAAUUCCAGGUGUAGCGGUGAAAUGCGUAGAUAUCUGGAGGAAUACCGGUGGCGAAGGCGGCAUCCUGG
rnacentral:rRNA from 1 species